UACGCACGGCGCAUCACGGACUGCGCUGUGUAUGCUGUGGCCCGGGUCCGGCACACGGUGCGCCUCAGCCUGGGCUGGAUUUACACGCCCCUCUACCUGGGGCUGAUCCUGCUGGUCGCCCACUUCAAUGUCGUGUACCGAUGG
rnacentral:ribozyme from 1 species